rnacentral:rRNA from 1 species
GGGGGAAACCAAAUUUGUAAUCUGGCUCUUUUAUAAGGGUCCGAGUUGUAAUUUUGAGAACUGUUUUCCGUGCUGGACCAUGUACAAGUCUGUUGAAAAACAGCAUCAUUGAGGGUGAUAAUCCCGUACAUGAUAUGGACUACCAGGGCAAUGUGAUACAGUCUCUAAGAGUCGAGUUGUUUGGGAAUGCAGCUCAAAGUGGGUGGUAAAUUCCAUCUAAGGCUAAAUAUAGGUGAGAGACCGAUAGCAAACAAGUACCGUGAGGGAAAGAUGAAAAGAACUUUGGAAAGAGAGUUAACAGUACGUGAAAUUGUUAAAAGGGAAACAUUUGAAGUUAGACUUGUUAUUGUUGGUUCAGCUCUUUUUAUAAGGGUGUAUUCCAAUGGUUAACAGACCAGCAUCAAUUUUUGGGUGUUAGAUAAGGGUCUUGAGAAUGUAGCAACCUCGGUUGUGUUAUAGAUCUUGACUUGAUAUAAUGCUUAGGAUUGAGGAACGCAGUGAGCUUCUUUGAAGUGGAUCCCCUUGGGGGUCUUCUCACUACGGAUGUUGGUGUAAUAGCUUUAAAUGACCCGCUAAAAAA